UUUACCACCACUAUAAAAUGCUUCAGGAAGUUUCUCUGCUUUUCAGAAGAAGUUUAUUGAGGAUGUUGGACAAGGAUCAUUUUUAUUUACCUGGAUUUUCAAGUUUAAUGUUUGAAACUCAGAGAAGUCACUCAACUGGAAAAGAUAAAGUUUUACAGGUGAAAAAGUGAAAAGGCUGUAAAAAAAUGUUCCAGGUCCAUCAACAGGUCAUUGAGGUCAAAGAGAUUCCAGUUCCCUGUAGGUCUACGUUAAGACCCUCACAUCCCAUCAGGCCUCAGAACGACUCAGGAUCAACCAGGAGGAGCUGGAGAGUGAUGAUGGAGAGAAGAACAUAUGAACAGAAGUGAUCUAUCACCUGUGAGGUUCGGAGUUUAGCGUCAAACUGAGAUCUGAAUUAGAAGAAUUUCUUCAUGAGGACGAGCACAGUGAAGCUUUGAAGAUCGACAUGAAGACCAGAGCAUGAGGGACGACAGGAAAGAGAGACAGAGCUGUUUCCAGAGCUGUCGCCCUCUCUUAAGUUUCCCUUAUCAACAUUAACAGCACUGACACAAUAGAUGAAGUCACUUCUCACUCUCACAUUACAUAAACAAAACCAGCAUCCGUCUCCCAUUGGUCCGGUCAGGUGUCACUCAAAGGCUGCAUUGCAUCACUCUGCCACACACUCGCCCGUGAUUGGCCGCUCUGUCUAGUCGCUGCCGCCCCCUGGCCUCUGAUUGGCUGAGCCCUGAC